rnacentral:snRNA from 1 species
CUUCUUUCUUUGGGAAAUUGAUAAAAUUGGAACAAUACAGAGAAAAUUAGCAUAACUCUUAUGCAGGGCUGGCAUGCACAAAUCAAGAAAUGAUCUAAUAAAUG